rnacentral:rRNA from 1 species
UACGUAGGGGGCUAGCGUUGUCCGGAAUCAUUGGGCGUAAAGCGCGUGUAGGCGGUCCGGUAAGUCCGCUGUGAAAGUCGAGGGCUCAACCCUCGAAUGCCGGUGGAUACUGUCGGGCUUGAGUACGGGAGAGGCGAGUGGAAUUCCUGGUGUAGCGGUGAAAUGCGCAGAUAUCGGGAGGAACACCGGUGGCGAAGGCGGUUCUCUGGGCCUGUACUGACGCUGAGGAGCGAAAGCGUGGGGAGCGAACAGG